UACGUAAAAGACUAGUGUUAUUCAUCUUUAGUAGGUUUAAAGGGUACCUAGACGGUGUAAUUAGUCUUGAACAAGAAACGGUUAUGCUAGAGUUAUAUAUGAGAAGGGGAGUAUUUAUGGAGUAGAGUUGAAAUUCUUUGAUCCCAUAACGACUGGUAGCGGCGAAAGCAACCUUUUAUCUAAUAACUGACGUUGAGGGACGAAGGCUCGGGUCACGAACAGG
rnacentral:rRNA from 1 species